rnacentral:rRNA from 1 species
UACGGGGGGGGCAAGCGUUGUUCGGAAUUACUGGGCGUAAAGCGCGUGUAGGCAGUUUCGCAAGUCGGGUGUGAAAGCCCUGGGCUCAACCUAGGAAGUGCACUCGAAACUGCGAGACUUGAGUCCUGGAGAGGAAGGCGGAAUUCUCGGUGUAGAGGUGAAAUUCGUAGAUAUCGAGAGGAACACCGGUGGCGAAGGCGGCCUUCUGGACAGUGACUGACGCUGAGACGCGAAAGCGUGGGGAGCAAACAGG